rnacentral:ncRNA from 1 species
AGAAGAUUUUAUGUACUUCCAGUUCAAACUAGUUUGUAUGUGAACUUGUUUUUAGUAUAUUUAGAUCUCCUUAUUUUCUCGACCAACAAGACUCGCUUCGGCGGGUCGAUUCGGACGGAGGACAUUGUCAGGUGGGGAGUUUGGCUGGGGCGGCCCAUCUGUUAAAAGAUAAUGAGCUCAACGAGAACAAAAAUUUCGUGUGGAACAAAAGGGUAAAAGCUCGUUUGAUUCUGAUUUUCAGUACGAAUACGAACCGUGAAAACGUGGCCUAUCGAUCCUUUAGACUUUCGGAAUUUGAAGAUAGAGGUGUCAGAAAAGUUACCACAUAAAUAACUGGCUUGUGGCAGCCAAGCGUUCGUAGCGACGUUGCUUUUUGAUCCUUCGAUGCCGGCUCUUCAUAUCAUUGUGAAGCAGAAUUCACCAAGUGUUAGAUUGUUCAGGGAACGUGAGCGGGUUUAGACCGUCAUGAGGUAACUUGCUUU